rnacentral:rRNA from 1 species
CACACUAUCAUUAACUGAAUCCAUAGGUUAAUGAGGCGAACCGGGGGAACUGAAACAUCUAAGUACCCCGAGGAAAAGAAAUCAACCGAGAUUCCCCCAGUAGCGGCGAGCGAACGGGGAGCAGCCCAGAGCCUGAAUCAGUGUGUGUGUUAGUGGAAGCGUCUGGAAAGGCGCGCGAUACAGGGUGACAGCCCCGUACACAAAAAUGCACAUGCUGUGAGCUCGAUGAGUAGGGCGGGACACGUGGUAUCCUGUCUGAAUAUGGGGGGACCAUCCUCCAAGGCUAAAUACUCCUGACUGACCGAUAGUGAACCAGUACCGUGAGGGAAAGGCGAAAAGAACCCCGGCGAGGGGAGUGAAAAAGAACCUGAAACCGUGUACGUACAAGCAGUGGGAGCACGCUUAGGCGUGUGACUGCGUACCUUUUGUAUAAUGGGUCAGCGACUUAUAUUCUGUAGCAAGGUUAACCGAAUAGGGGAGCCGAAGGGAAACCGAGUCUUAACUGGGCGUUAAGUUGCAGGGUAUAGACCCGAAACCCGGUGAUCUAGCCAUGGGCAGGUUGAAGGUUGGGUAACACUAACUGGAGGACCGAACCGACUAAUGUUGAAAAAUUAGCGGAUGACUUGUGGCUGGGGGUGAAAGGCCAAUCAAACCGGGAGAUAGCUGGUUCUCCCCGAAAGCUAUUUAGGUAGCGCCUCGUGAAUUCAUCUCCGGGGGUAGAGCACUGUUUCGGCAAGGGGGUCAUCCCGACUUACCAACCCGAUGCAAACUGCGAAUACCGGAGAAUGUUAUCACGGGAGACACACGGCGGGUGCUAACGUCCGUCGUGAAGAGGGAAACAACCCAGACCGCCAGCUAAGGUCCCAAAGUCAUGGUUAAGUGGGAAACGAUGUGGGAAGGCCCAGACAGCCAGGAUGUUGGCUUAGAAGCAGCCAUCAUUUAAAGAAAGCGUAAUAGCUCACUGGUCGAGUCGGCCUGCGCGGAAGAUGUAACGGGGCUAAACCAUGCACCGAAGCUGCGGCAGCGACACUAUGUGUUGUUGGGUAGGGGAGCGUUCUGUAAGCCUGUGAAGGUGUACUGUGAGGUAUGCUGGAGGUAUCAGAAGUGCGAAUGCUGACAUAAGUAACGAUAAAGCGGGUGAAAAGCCCGCUCGCCGGAAGACCAAGGGUUCCUGUCCAACGUUAAUCGGGGCAGGGUGAGUCGACCCCUAAGGCGAGGCCGAAAGGCGUAGUCGAUGGGAAACAGGUUAAUAUUCCUGUACUUGGUGUUACUGCGAAGGGGGGACGGAGAAGGCUAUGUUGGCCGGGCGACGGUUGUCCCGGUUUAAGCGUGUAGGCUGGUUUUCCAGGCAAAUCCGGAAAAUCAAGGCUGAGGCGUGAUGACGAGGCACUACGGUGCUGAAGCAACAAAUGCCCUGCUUCCAGGAAAAGCCUCUAAGCAUCAGGUAACAUCAAAUCGUACCCCAAACCGACACAGGUGGUCAGGUAGAGAAUACCAAGGCGCUUGAGAGAACUCGGGUGAAGGAACUAGGCAAAAUGGUGCCGUAACUUCGGGAGAAGGCACGCUGAUAUGUAGGUGAAGCGACUUGCUCGUGGAGCUGAAAUCAGUCGAAGAUACCAGCUGGCUGCAACUGUUUAUUAAAAACACAGCACUGUGCAAACACGAAAGUGGACGUAUACGGUGUGACGCCUGCCCGGUGCCGGAAGGUUAAUUGAUGGGGUUAGCGCAAGCGAAGCUCUUGAUCGAAGCCCCGGUAAACGGCGGCCGUAACUAUAACGGUCCUAAGGUAGCGAAAUUCCUUGUCGGGUAAGUUCCGACCUGCACGAAUGGCGUAAUGAUGGCCAGGCUGUCUCCACCCGAGACUCAGUGAAAUUGAACUCGCUGUGAAGAUGCAGUGUACCCGCGGCAAGACGGAAAGACCCCGUGAACCUUUACUAUAGCUUGACACUGAACAUUGAGCCUUGAUGUGUAGGAUAGGUGGGAGGCUUUGAAGUGUGGACGCCAGUCUGCAUGGAGCCGACCUUGAAAUACCACCCUUUAAUGUUUGAUGUUCUAACGUUGACCCGUAAUCCGGGUUGCGGACAGUGUCUGGUGGGUAG